CUGUGUUUGGAGGGGCAUUGAGCUCUUUGUUAAACUGAGCAAUGUGACCGCCCUGUAUCUGGGGUCCGGGUCUCUGCCCUCUUGCUCAUUUGGCUUUACGCCGUGCUCUGCCCCAUUAGUCAGCGUGACAACCCUGUAAUUAGGGUCUAUGUCACAAGCCUCUCUAGGAUGGGACAUAUUGAGCUCUUUGGUACUUUGACAGCUUGACCUUCCUGUAAUUCAGGUUAUGGUCUCUCCUCUUUGGCUAAUGCCAGUGACCACCCUGUAGUCAGGGUACAGGUUGCACCUCGCUUUUGAAAUCUGGGGGAUUAGAAUCAUGACCAUAACAUGGGCAGCUUGACCUCCCUGUAACUAGGGUUUGCGUCUCCGAGGCCCUUUGGGUCUCCGUUAUAGAGUUGGUGAAUGUGACUGCCCUGUAAUCAGGGUGCAAGUCACCUCCCUCUGUCUUUGGAGGGGCAUUGAGCUCUUUGUUAAACUGAGCAAUGUGACCGCCCUGUAUCUGGGGUCCGGGUCUCUGCCCUCUUGCUCAUUUGGCUUUACGCCGUGCUCUGCCCCAUUAGUCAGCGUGACAACCCUGUAAUUAGGGUCUAUGUCACAAGCCUCUCUAGGAUGGGACAUAUUGAGCUCUUUGGUACUUUGACAGCUUGACCUUCCUGUAAUUCAGGUUAUGGUCUCUCCUCUUUGGCUAAUGCCAGCGACCACCCUGUAGUCAGGGUACAGGUUGCAUCUCGCUUUUGAAAUCUGGGGGAUUAGAAUCAUGACCAUAACAUGGGCAGCUUGACCUCCCUGUAACUAGGGUGUGCGUCUCCGAGGCCCUCUGGGUCUCUUGGCCUCGUGCUGUCUUCACAGCCUGCUGCCAACGACCGCCCUGUAAUCAGGGAUCUGGUCUUUGCCCUCUAGUCUCUUGGCACUUGGCCAAAUGCAGCCACUGCCCUGAAUGAGCACCCUGUAAACAGGGUACGGGUCUCAUCUGCUACUAUUUAUGGCACCCCCAUGACACUGUGUCCAGAGUUCCGGCCCUUCAAACAGCGCUUCCAACUUGCCUGGAAUUCUGCAGCCAAGUCUCCUGCUUUCUACUCACUUUUUGGACUCUCGGAGAUCUGACAUGCUACUGGUGACAUCAUGAAGCACAAGUGGAGAAGAAGGAAGUGUCAGGAAUGACACACACAGAGGAGAAAAGAAGAUGGAGGAAAAGGAAAGGAACUCUGGGCACAGUAACCAACCUCAAAUCAGGCCUCAGGUCAUGUAAUUAGACUGUAGGGGAAUCUCGAGCCUCUUAAUACCUUGAGCAGCGUGACCGCCCUGUAAGCUGGGUCCCGGUCUGUGCUAUUGUGUCGUUUUGACAUUCUGCUCCGAUAUCUGGCUAUUGAGGGUGACUGCCCUGUAAUCAGGGUGUAAGUCACUUCCCUCUGUCUUUGGAGGGGCAUUGAGCUUUUCGUUAAACUGAGCAAUGUGACCGCCCUGUAUCUGGGGUCUGGGUCUCUGCCCUCUUGUUCAUUUGGCUUUACGCCGUGCUCUGCCCCAUUAGUCAGCGUGACAACCCAGUAAUUAGGGUCUAUGUCACAAGCCUCUCUAGGAUGGGACAUAUUGAGCUCUUUGGUACUUUGACAGCUUGACCUUCCUGUAAUUCAGGUUAUGGUCUCCCCUAUUUGGCUAAUGCCAGCGACCACCCUGUAAUCAGGGUACAGGUUGCACCUCGCUUUUGAAAUCUGGGGGAUUAGAAUCAUGACCAUAACAUGGGCAGCUUGACCUCCCUGUAACUAGGGUUUGCGUCUCCGAGGCCCUUUGGGUCUCCGUUAUAGAGUUGGUGAAUGUGACUGCCCUGUAAUCAGGGUGCAAGUCACCUCCCCCUGUCUUUGGAGGGGCAUUGAGCUCUUUGUUCAACUGAGCAAUGUGACCGCCCUGUAACUGGGGUCUGGGUCUCUGCCCUCUUGCUCAUUUGGCUUUACGCCGUGCUCUGCCCCAUUAGUCAGCGUGACAACCCUGUAAUUAGGGUCCAUGUCACAAGCCUCUCUAGCAUGGGACAUAUUGAGAUCUUUGGUACUUUGACAGCUUGACCUUCCUGUAAUUCAGGUUAUGGUCUCUCCUCUUUGGCUAAUGCCAGCGACCACCCUGUAAUCAGGGUACAGGUUGCAUCUCGCUUUUGAAAUCUGGGGGAUUAGAAUCAUGACCAUAACGUGGGCAGCUUGACCUCCCUGUAACUAGGGUGUGCGUCUCCGAGGCCCUCUGGGUCUCUUGGCCUCGUGCUGUCUUCACAGCCUGCUGCCAACGACCGCCCUGUAAUCAGGGAUCUGGUCUUUGCCCUCUAGUCUCUUGGCACUUGGCCAAAUGCAGCCACUGCCCUGAAUGAGCACCCUGUAAACAGGGUACGGGUCUCAUCUGCUACUAUUUAUGGCACCCCCAUGACACUGUGUCCAGAGUUCCGGCCCUUCAAACAGCGCUUCCAACUUGCCUGGAAUUCUGCAGCCAAGUCUCCUGCUUUCUACUCACUUUUUGGACUCUCGGAGAUCUGACAUGCUACUGGUGACAUCAUGAAGCACAAGUGGAGAAGAAGGAAGUGUCAGGAAUGACACACACAGAGGAGAAAAGAAGAUGGAGGAAAAGGAAAGGAACUCUGGGCACAGUAACCAACCUCAAAUCAGGCCUCAGGUCAUGUAAUUAGACUGUAGGGGAAUCUCGAGCCUCUUAAUACCUUGAGCAGCGUGACCGCCCUGUAAGCUGGGUCCCGGUCUGUGCUAUUGUGUCGUUUUGACAUUCUGCUCCGAUAUCUGGCUAUUGAGGGUGACUGCCCUGUAAUCAGGGUGCAAGUCACCUCCCUCUGUGUUUGGAGGGGCAUUGAGCUCUUUGUUAAACUGAGCAAUGUGACCGCCCUGUAUCUGGGGUCCGGGUCUCUGCCCUCUUGCUCAUUUGGCUUUACGCCGUGCUCUGCCCCAUUAGUCAGCGUGACAACCCUGUAAUUAGGGUCUAUGUCACAAGCCUCUCUAGGAUGGGACAUAUUGAGCUCUUUGGUACUUUGACAGCUUGACCUUCCUGUAAUUCAGGUUAUGGUCUCUCCUCUUUGGCUAAUGCCAGUGACCACCCUGUAGUCAGGGUACAGGUUGCACCUCGCUUUUGAAAUCUGGGGGAUUAGAAUCAUGACCAUAACAUGGGCAGCUUGACCUCCCUGUAACUAGGGUUUGCGUCUCCGAGGCCCUUUGGGUCUCCGUUAUAGAGUUGGUGAAUGUGACUGCCCUGUAAUCAGGGUGCAAGUCACCUCCCUCUGUCUUUGGAGGGGCAUUGAGCUCUUUGUUAAACUGAGCAAUGUGACCGCCCUGUAUCUGGGGUCCGGGUCUCUGCCCUCUUGCUCAUUUGGCUUUACGCCGUGCUCUGCCCCAUUAGUCAGCGUGACAACCCUGUAAUUAGGGUCCAUGUCACAAGCCUCUCUAGGAUGGGACAUAUUGAGCUCUUUGGUACUUUGACAGCUUGACCUUCCUGUAAUUCAGGUUAUGGUCUCUCCUCUUUGGCUAAUGCCAGCGACCACCCUGUAGUCAGGGUACAGGUUGCAUCUCGCUUUUGAAAUCUGGGGGAUUAGAAUCAUGACCAUAAGAUGGGCAGCUUGACCUCCCUGUAACUAGGGUGUGCAUCUCCGAGGCCCUCUGCGUCUCUUGGCCUCGUGCUGUCUUCACAGCCUGCUGCCAACAACCGCCCUGUAAUCAGGGAUCUGGUCUUUGCCCUCUAAUCUCUUGGCACUUGGCCAAAUGCAGCCACUGCCCUGAAUGAGCACCCUGUAAACAGGGUACAGGUCUCAUCUGCUACUAUUUAUGGCACCCCCAUGACACUGUGUCCAGAGUUCCGGCCCUUCAAACAGCGCUUCCAACUUGCCUGGAAUUCUGCAGCCAAGUCUCCUGCUUUCUACUCACUUUUUGGACUCUCGGAGAUCUGACAUGCUACUGGUGACAUCAUGAAGCACAAGUGGAGAAGAAGGAAGUGUCAGGAAUGACACACACAGAGGAGAAAAGAAGAUGGAGGAAAAGGAAAGGAACUCUGGGCACAGUAACCAACCUCAAAUCAGGCCUCAGGUCAUGUAAUUAGACUGUAGGGGAAUCUCGAGCCUCUUAAUACCUUGAGCAGCGUGACCGCCCUGUAAGCUGGGUCCCGGUCUGUGCUAUUGUGUCGUUUUGACAUUCUGCUCCGAUAUCUGGCUAUUGAGGGUGACUGCCCUGUAAUCAGGGUGCAAGUCACCUCCCUCUGUCUUUGGAGGGGCAUUGAGCUCUUUGUUAAACUGAGCAAUGUGACCGCCCUGUAUCUGGGGUCCGGGUCUCUGCCCUCUUGCUCAUUUGGCUUUACGCCGUGCUCUGCCCCAUUAGUCAGCGUGACAACCCUGUAAUUAGGGUCUAUGUCACAAGCCUCUCUAGGAUGGGACAUAUUGAGAUCUUUGGUACUUUGACAGCUUGACCUUCCUGUAAUUCAGGUUAUGGUCUCCCCUAUUUGGCUAAUGCCAGCGACCACCCUGUAAUCAGGGUACAGGUUGCACCUCGCUUUUGAAAUCUGGGGGAUUAGAAUCAUGACCAUAACAUGGGCAGCUUGACCUCCCUGUAACUAGGGUUUGCGUCUCCGAGGCCCUUUGGGUCUCCGUUAUAGAGUUGGUGAAUGUGACUGCCCUGUAAUCAGGGUGCAAGUCACCUCCCCCUGUCUUUGGAGGGGCAUUGAGCUCUUUGUUCAACUGAGCAAUGUGACCGCCCUGUAACUGGGGUCUGGGUCUCUGCCCUCUUGUUCAUUUGGCUUUACGCCGUGCUCUGCCCCAUUAGUCAGCGUGACAACCCUGUAAUUAGGGUCCAUGUCACAAGCCUCUCUAGCAUGGGACAUAUUGAGCUCUUUGGUACUUUGACAGCUUGACCUUCCUGCAAUUCAGGUUAUGGUCUCUCCUCUUUGGCUAAUGCCAGCGACCACCCUGUAAUCAGGGUACAGGUUGCAUCUCGCUUUUGAAAUCUGGGGGAUUAGAAUCAUGACCAUAACGUGGGCAGCUUGACCUCCCUGUAACUAGGGUGUGCGUCUCCGAGGCCCUCUGGGUCUCUUGGCCUCGUGCUGUCUUCACAGCCUGCUGCCAACGACCGCCCUGUAAUCAGGGAUCUGGUCUUUGCCCUCUAGUCUCUUGGCACUUGGCCAAAUGCAGCCACUGCCCUGAAUGAGCACCCUGUAAACAGGGUACGGGUCUCAUCUGCUACUAUUUAUGGCACCCCCAUGACACUGUGUCCAGAGUUCCGGCCCUUCAAACAGCGCUUCCAACUUGCCUGGAAUUCUGCAGCCAAGUCUCCUGCUUUCUACUCACUUUUUGGACUCUCGGAGAUCUGACAUGCUACUGGUGACAUCAUGAAGCACAAGUGGAGAAGAAGGAAGUGUCAGGAAUGACACACACAGAGGAGAAAAGAAGAUGGAGGAAAAGGAAAGGAACUCUGGGCACAGUAACCAACCUCAAAUCAGGCCUCAGGUCAUGUAAUUAGACUGUAGGGGAAUCUCGAGCCUCUUAAUACCUUGAGCAGCGUGACCGCCCUGUAAGCUGGGUCCCGGUCUGUGCUAUUGUGUCGUUUUGACAUUCUGCUCCGAUAUCUGGCUAUUGAGGGUGACUGCCCUGUAAUCAGGGUGCAAGUCACCUCCCUCUGUCUUUGGAGGGGCAUUGAGCUCUUUGUUAAACUGAGCAAUGUGACCGCCCUGUAUCUGGGGUCCGGGUCUCUGCCCUCUUGCUCAUUUGGCUUUACGCCGUGCUCUGCCCCAUUAGUCAGCGUGACAACCCUGUAAUUAGGGUCUAUGUCACAAGCCUCUCUAGGAUGGGACAUAUUGAGCUCUUUGGUACUUUGACAGCUUGACCUUCCUGUAAUUCAGGUUAUGGUCUCCCCUAUUUGGCUAAUGCCAGCGACCUCCCUGUAAUCAGGGUACAGGUUGCAUCUCGCUUUUGAAAUCUGGGGGAUUAGAAUCAUGACCAUAACAUGGGCAGCUUGUCCUCCCUGUAACUAGGGUUUGCGUCUCGGAGGCCCUUUGGGUCUCCGUUAUAGAGUUGGUGAAUGUGACUGCCCUGUAAUCAGGGUGCAAGUCACCUCCCCCUGUCUUUGGAGGGGCAUUGAGCUCUUUGUUAAACUGAGCAAUGUGACCGCCCUGUAACUGGGGUCCGGGUCUCUCCCCUCUUGCUCAUUUGGCUUUACGCCAUGCUCUGCCCCAUUAGUCAGCGUGACAACCCUGUAAUUAGGGUCCAUGUCACAAGCCUCUCUAGCAUGGGACAUAUCGAGCUCUUUGGUACUUUGACAGCUUGAUCUUUCUGUAAUUCAGGUUCCGGUCUCUCCUCUUUGGCUAAUGCCAGCAACCUCCCUGUAAUCAGGGUACAGGUUGCAUCUUGCUUUUGAAAUCUGGGUAAUUAGAAUCAUUUCCGUUAUGUGGGCAGCUUGACCUCCCUGUAAUUAGGGUGUGCGUCUCCGAGGCCCUAUGGGUCUCUUGGCCUCGUGCUGUCUUCACAGCCUGCUGCCAACGACCGCCCUGUAAUCAGGGAUCUGGUCUUUGCCCUCUAGUGUCUUGGCACUUGGCCAAGUGCAACCACUGCCCUGAAUGAGCACCCUGUAAACAGGGUACAGGUCUCAUCUGCUACUAUUUAUGGCAGCCCCAUGACACUGUGUCCAGAGUUCCGGCCCUUCCAACAGCGCUUCCAACUUGCCUGGAAUUCUGCAGCCAAGUCUCCUGCUUUCUACUCACUUCUUGGACUCUUGGAGACCUGACAUGCUAUCGGUGGCAUCAUGAAGCAGAAGUGGAGAAGAAGGAAGUGUCAGUACCAUGGCAUAACUGUGAAUCUGAAAUGCAUGGACCUUAAACACUCAAGUUGUAUAGAAUUAUAACUUCCUAUUAUUAAGAAAUCAUCAUUUCCUACUGGAAGUGCAAAGAUGUCACUUAAGGGAAGGUAUACAUUUGAAUCCUCCCCUCCCCUCCAAUUCUCCCCCCAAAACUCUUCAAAUAAAGUUAAGGUUCAGAAAAUUAACAUUUACUCCAGGUAACGCCUAACUUGUGUAUUUCUCACACAUUUCUCAAAGGAAGCAAACAAAACUAAAUGUUUUGGCAACUGGCAGUUACUCUCCGCACUUCACAACUUUCAAACACCUGCUCUACUUAAACGGUCACACCAACCAAAGUGUACCACACAUUCAAAAUUAACUUUGCACCUAUUGUGUCAGAAGUGAGAGUGUUUUUAGUAGUUGUGUCCAUUGGUGGAAGUGGCAGUUGUGGUGUUUUAGUAGUCCUUUACGCUUAUUGAAUUCAAAGGAUGAUGAUGUGGAUGUUUUAGGUAGGUAUUUUUCUGUUAAGUCUUGGUAUUUGGGUAGAGGUGCAGUAUUUUGUGAUUAUGACUGUUUUUCUGGUAUUGGUUUAGUGUGAAUUGUUGGCAAUUCUAGAUGUUUUUGUAUCCGUACAUUAGUAGAUGUAUUUAGAGGGCAAAGCUGAGGUUGCCUGUUUGGUGCAAUUUAAUUGGUGUGAAAGUUAAUUUCGGGUAGGUGUUUGAAAGCACUGAGGUUUGAAUUUUUAGCUCAACAAGGAUGCAGGACCCACCUGGCUACCUCAGUUCUUACUGUCAUUCCUAAUUCCAAAAUCUUGGAUGAAGAUGACCAGGCAGAAUAAAGAUAUCUCCAGAGACUUUCAAGAGGGUAGCAUUUCUGCAGCUUUAGGGGAUUCCUUAAACCUUAUUGAGCUUUUCAAAGUGUAAUAAUUGUGGGAAACUUCUACUUCUGCCAAUUCCGUGUUGAACAAUGACCUGUAUUAAAGGACUUACACUGGGUAGUUAAUUCUGUUCUGUAUUAAGAUGAUUUUGCUAAAAUCGCCGCUUUCUGAUGUGUGAAAUGAAUUAUCUAGCUCUGAUUAUACCUAUUUGAUAAAAGUGUGAUAACGACCCCAUGUUAAAUGCAUGGAUUGAACUUUGAUUGUCAUAUCGCAUUGCUUUGCUUUCUGUAACUCCUUAUUUAUGAAUGUAUUUGUUACUAUUUAUGUAAUUCAAUUAAUAAAAUGUAUACAUUCAA